CCUACGGGAGGCUGCAGUGGGGAAUAUUGCACAAUGGGGGAAACCCUGAUGCAGCAACGCCGCGUGGGUGAAGAAGUAUUUCGGUAUGUAAAGCCCUAUCAGCAGGGAAGAGAAUGACGGUACCUGACUAAGAAGCCCCGGCUAACUACGUGCCAGCAGCCGCGGUAAUACGUAGGGGGCAAGCGUUAUCCGGAUUUACUGGGUGUAAAGGGAGCGUAGACGGUUUUGCAAGUCUGAAGUGAAAGUCCGCGGCUCAACUGCGGAACGGCGUUGGAAACUGUGUAAUUGGAGUGCAGGAGAGGUAAGCGGAAUUCGUGGUGUAGCGGUGAAAUGCGUAGAGAUCAGGAGGAACACCGACGGCGAAGGCGGCUUACUGGACAGUAACUGACGUUGAGGCUCGAAAGCGUGGGGAGCAAACAGGAUUAGAUACCCGAGUAGUC
rnacentral:rRNA from 1 species